GGCCCGAGUGGUGAUCGUGAUUAUUGGGUCUAAAGGGUCCGUAGCCGGUUUGGUCAGUCCUCCGGGAAAUCUGAUAGCUCAACUAUUAGGCUUUCGGGGGAUACUGCCAGACUUGGAACCGGGAGAGGUAAGAGGUACUACAGGGGUAGGAGUGAAAUCUUGUAAUCCCUGUGGGACCACCUGUGGCGAAGGCGUCUUACCAGAACGGGUUCGACGGUGAGGGACGAAAGCUGGGGGCACGAACCGGAUUAGAUACCCGGGUAGUCCCAGCCGUAAACGAUGCUCGCUAGGUGUCAGGCAUGGCGCGACCGUGUCUGGUGCCGCAGGGAAGCCGUGAAGCGAGCCACCUGGGAAGUACGGCCGCAAGGCUGAAACUUAAAGGAAUUGGCGGGGGAGCACAACAACGGGUGGAGCCCUGCGGUUUAAUUGGACUCAACGCCGGACAACUCACCGGGGGCGACAGCAAUAUGUAGGCCAAGCUGAAGACUUUGCCUGAAUCGCUGAGAAGUGGUGCAUGG
rnacentral:rRNA from 1 species